rnacentral:rRNA from 1 species
UACAGAGGGGGCAAGCGUUGUUCGGAAUUACUGGGCGUAAAGGGCGCGUAGGCGGCCUUCUAAGUCGAACGUGAAAUCCCCGGGCUCAACCCGGGAACUGCGUCCGAUACUGGAAGGCUUGAAUCCGGGAGAGGGAUGCGGAAUUCCAGGUGUAGCGGUGAAAUGCGUAGAUAUCUGGAGGAACACCGGUGGCGAAGGCGGCAUUCUGGACCAUUACUGACGCUGAGGAGCGAAAGCCAGGGGAGCAAACGGG